rnacentral:rRNA from 1 species
GAUGAACGCUGGCGGCGUGCUUAACACAUGCAAGUCGAGCGGGCAAUUUAUCUAGCACUGAUUACUUCAAAUGGAAAUCAUAAGUGUAAUCAUGAAUUUCUACCUUUAAUAAAGAAAAAGAAAUUCAUGUACGCAAAUAGUGAUAACACAUUUUAGUGGAGUGACGAGUGCUGGAUAAAUUGCUAGCGGCGGACGGGUGCGUAACACGUGGGUAACCUGCCCCUAUCACUGGGAUAACACACUGAAAAGUGUGCUAAUACCAGAUAACAUAAGCUUUUGGCAUCAUUAGCUUAUCAAAGAAUUUCGGAUAGGGAUGGGCCCGCGUCUGAUUAGCUUGUUGGUGAGGUAACGGCUCACCAAGGCAACGAUCAGUAGCCGACCUGAGAGGGUGAUCGGCCACACUGGAACUGAGACACGGUCCAGACUCCUACGGGAGGCAGCAGUGGGGAAUAUUGCACAAU